ACUCGCCGCAGCCGAGCUGUCGAGCGCCAGUGUAAUAAUAAUAAUAAUAAUAGUAAUGAGGAAAGGCUACCGACUUUGCUAUUUCUACGGAAUAGAAGAAAAAGGUAAACAGCAGAAUUGGCAGCAGCAUUGAUGUCAAUUCUUCGAUUUGAUUUAAUGACCUACUUCGUCGGAUCAAGCCUUUCAUUCGCCAUAAAAGAACUCCUCUUUAACCCAGUAAGUUUACAAGAGAGACUGGCAUCCAGUUCCCCUCGAGCUAGUUCAUGCUUCCUGUUUCCGCUUUGUCGCACGUCGCUGAAAAAAAUAGUGCUGUGUGCCCUCCGGUCACGCACUCAAAAUCCUGGCGCGCCAGCAAGAUCUACGUCAUUUUGACAUCACAUUGGCGCGCGCCAGCUCGGCUACGGCGACUGUAAAAUGGCCUUUUAGGCAGACAUUCCCAUUGAAACUUGUAAAUCACACAGCACCAUUUAAAUUUUAGACUUUGGACAAAACAUUUGAUCACUUUUGAAUAUUUCAUGCAUUACCUGUUAUAUUUCCUUACAUUGGAUGCGCUCAGACAGGAUGGUCAGUUAGUUACAUUGUUUUCAAUUUUAGUGUCUGACUAAUGUGUUGGUGCUGUCCCUCAGCCCCAGACACUGUUGUGUGCCUAUCUGUCCUCUUCAACUCUCUUAACUUCUCUAGUUCAUGGAGUAUACAGCCCGACCCUCUGUCACCGAGUCACCAGAACUGGCCCUAGUAGACGCUCAUCCUUUGGUACUGUCAUUAUGAGCAGCUUUAAAGGAUGGUUUAAUAUUUUUUUCAAGUCUGUCUUAAAACAAUUCUCACAUGCCCAUGAACGGUUAUUGGUCGCUGUAAUCAUUCCUCCUGUCCAUACUGGUUGUAUAAAGAUUCCUUCCUGAUGCUAUUCCAAUGUCAAACAUUUUGUCCCCCAUCCCAUCACUUGAACUGUAAUCGCAUUAAAAAGGGAUCUCUUAACAGCCAGUAUGGACAGAAGGACUGCCCUAUCUUGCAAUGUUAAUGAAAGUAAAAAAAAUAAUUCUUGAUUCAGACCCGCUCCAAAAUAUAAUGUGUUCUUCCUUGGCCCAUGCUACACCCUUCCACCAAGUUUCAUGAAAAUCAGGCCAGUAGUUUUUUUGCAAUUCUGCUGACAAACCGAACCGAGAACAUUACCUCCUUGGCGGAGUUUAACUUUUUUAGUUUACAUAUGGAAUUAGUAUUGUAUUAAGCUACUUGAAAAAAUGUGAACCUGUCCUUUUAAAAUGCUUUGCAAUCGGAGUUUCAGAAAAUAAUACUUCUUACCAUCAGAAGCUCACCACAUUGAGUCUUUUUCAUGCUGUAAGCAAUAUACAUAAUACCUGAAAACAUUUCAUGUAGUCUUGGCAUUUUCUAUGCAGUAAACUCAGUAUUGUACUCUUGGUUGUCUUAAGUGCAGCUCUCCAAAGCAGUAGAGCAGGUUGGGUUGAUGCAGUUAUUUUACGCUGAUGUCUGAUUAUUGGAUUUUUGUCCCCACCUCCCUAUGUAUAGCACACUGUUGACUCAUAGAUUAGUAAACUUUUAUUGUCUUCUCACGAUGCCACACGGUCGGAGCCAAAUCAUUUGAGAUUACUGUCCCUCAAAUUUCCAAGCCUUUGCCUAGCAUUAUUUUGGCACGAUUACUAAGCCACUUUGACAUUGUAUUUUGGGUCAAAUUGCAUUUGAUGGGAUUUAAAUGGUGCAAGCAAUGCCAGAUGUGACUUUACCUCCGGUUGAUUCGCACAGCAAGACCAUCCUUCGCUGCCCAUGAGCCUUUUUGUUUUUUCCCUCUGCUUUGAGCUGUCCAUUCACAUCACUGAUAGCCUGUUGCUGUAAGUAAUUGCACUAAAUGCCCUUUUACAGUGUUUUGAACUUAAAACUGUUGGUAAAUUGAAGAGUUUCAAAAUGUAAAGCACACAAAAUCACAGGUUGUGUGUUUCUGUAGAUAGAUGUGUUUUUUUUGUGUAGAUAGCUUUGAUGGUGCUUGUCAAUAAUGCCUUAAAUUCUGCUUUGUACAAUGUGUGAAAUUUAAAACAUGGAAUAAUGAAUAAUGCUGGUAU